CAAACAAGCCGCAUUUGGUUCGCAGGUCCGUCCCCUCUCCUGCUCUCUAGUCUCCUCGCCCUCUGUUCCUCCAACCACCCUCCAAACCCUACCCUUCUCGAAGCUUCCAGAGCCCCUGGUGCUCGAGCCCUCCAUGGCCCCCUCCGCCUCCGCUCUCUCCUGCUCCACCCCCGACCCCUCGCGCUCCGGGUGGUCCUCUCUGCGGCCGCAGCUGGACCUCCAAUCCGCGCUCCUGUCCGAGGACGCCGCCGGCGACGCUCGGGCCGUCGCGGAGCUCCUCAAUGCCGCGCUGGAGGGGGACCUCCCCCGCGCGAAGAAGCUGACGAAGGAGCUGAGGAAGGCAGGGAAGGGCGUCGCCGAGGCUGUGGCGGACGCCGUCGGCAUGCCCGAGAGCAAGCGUCGCGGGCCGCUCCACCUGGCCGCGGCGACCGGGAAGGUGGAGAUGUGCAAGUUCCUCAUCAGGACUUGCGAGGUCGACGUCAACGCGACCGAUGUUGAUGGUGCGACUCCUCUAAUUUUUGCAAUACAAGGUAUGGGAUCUACAGCUGUGGUGAAGCUUCUUCUCAGUUAUGAAGCUGAUCCGAACAAAGCAGACAGCGGUGGGAUUGCUCCUCUCCAUAUUGCAGCAGAACGAGAUUCCUAUGAAGUAGCAGAGCUUUUAUUGUCCAAAGGAGCUAAGGUUGACCCCAUAUGUGAAAGUGGCGAAGCACCACUACAUGUUGCUGCUGCGUAUGGAAAUGCAAGAGUGUUGAAACUGUUGUUGGAGCAUAAUGCCGAUGAGAAAGUGCAAAGUGUGCCCAGAGAGCAACCUAUGACAGCACCUCAACUACAUGAUCCUCCACGUUCGGGUCAUCCAUCAAACAUUUCUUCAGGGGGUAUGGGCAUAGCAUUGGAUGACGACAUUGGCAUUCCUGAAUACUCUGAAUAUGACGAUAGUGAAGUGGCCAACUUAUUUGUGAAGGUGAACUCUAAGGAGUUGAAAGCAAUUUUGUCAAAAUACAAAAUAGAUGCAACAGGAAAUAAGGAAGAAGUCUGGAGAAGGGCAAAUAAGGAGCUUAAGCUAGAAGAGCUGAAGCAAAGGGAACUCAGGUUGUUGUGCGCUGCAAAUGAUAUUCACCAAAACAAGGAUACAAAUGCGGAAAUGAUUUCAAAACUGAAGAAUCAUAAGAAAAGUCUAUUGCUUGCGAUGCGUAGGCAAAAGUUUAUGAUAGAACUCCGGGAACACAACAAACAAUUGCGAAUUUCUUUGAAUAACGAAUUAGAUACAAAUCUUUCAGAAUUGGAUGCAUUCAGCAUGCUUGUGGAAUUAAAGGAGUAUUUUUUGAAAGAACAUGCUUCGCUAGAGCUCUCCUACCAGUUCGAGGAAAAAGAAUGUGCUUCGCUAGAGAAGCAACUAAAGAUAGAGGAAACUGAAAAAAGGGCAUAUUUAAGGAAGGAAAGUUUGCCUACAAAGUGCAAGGAAAAAGCUGAGUAUGAGGAGAAGCUACUACUGGAAGAUAGACAGAAACGUCUUAAACUUGUUCUAGCAGAAAAGAAGGUUCAGGAGGAAUUAUCCAAAAAGAUAGAAGACGAAAUAGCUGUUCUAACAGAAAAGAAGGUCAGGACGAAUUGUCCAAAAAGAUAGACGACGAAAUAGCUGAAAUACAUUUAAAGAACGUCAGAUGCACAGCAAAAAGGUUAAGAACUCUGGAGUACAUCAAGCGAAUGGCUUUAUGAGUCGAGAUAAGGGUCGGCAUGGUCAUAACUCUAUUCAAUCAUUUAAAUAAAGGUAUAUCUGUCAGUUAAAGCCUCGCAAGAGAAGAGCCAAGCUCUGGCACUUGGACCUCCUUUGCUGGCAUCAGAACCUAGGCAACAAGCAGCUGAAGAAGAUUCAUCAGAAGAGCUUGAGGACAAGACUGAAUUAGAGUACUUAAUCCUGU